ensembl:snoRNA
UGCCCUUGUUUAUGUUUUUUGUUCAACUUGCAGACAAAGAAUGACAUACAGGUGCACAAAAUAUAUUCUUGUUUGCAACCCAGAACUCUUUGAUCACCAUGAAUUUUGAUACAUUACAAGCAGGAAUAGG